GGUGGUUCAGUGGUAGAAUGCUUGCCUUGUAUGCAUGAAGCCCUGGGUUCAAUUCCUCAGCACCA
rnacentral:tRNA from 1 species